rnacentral:rRNA from 1 species
UGGGGAAUAUUGGACAAUGGGCGAAAGCCUGAUCCAGCCAUGCCGCGUGUGUGAAGAAGGUCUUCGGAUUGUAAAGCACUUUAAGUUGGGAGGAAGGGUUGUAGAUUAAUACUCUGCAAUUUUGACGUUACCGACAGAAUAAGCACCGGCUAACUCUGUGCCAGCAGCCGCGGUAAUACAGAGGGUGCAAGCGUUAAUCAGAAUUACUGGGCGUAAAGCGCGCGUAGGUGGUUAGUUAAGUUGGAUGUGAAAUCCCCGGGCUCAACCUGGGAACUGCAUUCAAAACUGACUGACUAGAGUAUGGUAGAGGGUGGUGGAAUUUCCUGUGUAGCGGUGAAAUGCGUAGAUAUAGGAAGGAACACCAGUGGCGAAGGCGACCACCUGGGCUGAUACUGACACUGAGGUGCGAAAGCGUGGGGAGCAAACA